rnacentral:rRNA from 1 species
GAUGAACGCUGGCGGCGUGCCUAAUACAUGCAAGUCGAGCGAACAGACGAGGAUCUUGCUCCUCUGACGUUAGCGGCGGACGGGUGAGUAACACGUGGAUAACCUACCUAUAAGACUGGGAUAACUUCGGGAAACCGGAGCUAAUACCGGAUAAUAUAUUGAACCGCAUGGUUCAAUAGUGAAAGACGGUUUUGCUGUCACUUAUAGAUGGAUCCGCGCCGCAUUAGCUAGUUGGUAAGGUAACGGCUUACCAAGGCAACGAUGCGUAGCCGACCUGAGAGGGUGAUCAGCCACACUGGAACUGAGACACGGUCCAGACUCCUACGGGAGGCAGCAGUAGGGAAUCUUGCGCAAUGGGCGAAAGCCUGACGGAGCAACGCCGCGUGAGUGAUGAAGGUCUUCGGAUCGUAAACCUCUGUUAUUAGGGAAGAAAAAAUGUGUAAGUAACUAUGCACGUCAUGACGGUACCUAAUCAGAAAGCAACGGCUAACUACGUG